rnacentral:rRNA from 1 species
UGGAUGCGGGGGCUUCACCGCCUACCAAAUCCUGACAAACUCCGAAUGCCAGUAGUAUGAUUUACAGCAGUGAGUGACUGGGUGCUAAUGUCCAGUCGCAAAAGAGGAACAACUCAGACCAGCAACUAAGGUCCCGAAGAAUAUGCUAAGUUGAUCUAACGAUGUUUUGUUGCAGAGACAGCUAGGAUGUUAGCUUGGAAGCAGCUAUUCAUUCAAAGAGUGCGUAACAGCUCACUAGUCGAGCGACAGAGCGUGGAUAAUAAACGGGCAUCAAGCAUAUCACCGAAGUUCUGGGCGCGAGAGCGCGGUAGGGGAGCAUUCCAUUCAGCGUCGAAGCAGUUUCGUGAGGAAUUGUGGAGCGUAUGGAAAAGCAAAUGUAGGCAUGAGUAACGAUAAUGCGGGAGAGUAACCCGCACACCGCAAGACCAAGGUUUCCUGAUCAACGCUAAUCGGAUCAGGGUUAGUCGGGUCCUAAGGGUAAGCCGAACGGCGAUCUCGAUGGAUAAUCGGUUAAUAUUCCGAUACUAACAUAUACCUCGAUGGAGAGACGAAGGAACGUAAGUGCCGCCACCUGACGGAAUAGGUGGUUAAAGGGCGUAGGUAUAGGGGCAGAUUAAGAGUUAGUCCUUGCUGAAACCUGACAGUACAGAGAGCCUACGGGCAAUUUGAUAGUGCACCCAAGUCGACUUCCGAGAAAAUCUUCUAAGUUAUAGUAUAUGUUACCCGUACCGUAAACCGACACAGGUGGUCGAGGAGAGUAUCCUAAGGUGCUCGAGUGAAUCACGGUUAAGGAACUAGGCAAAUUAACCCCGUAACUUCGGGAAAAGGGGUCCCUAUGAAAGUAGGGCGCAGCGAAGAGGUCCAGGCGACUGUUUAUCAAAAACACAGGGCUCUGCAAAUUCGAAAGAAGACGUAUAGGGCCUGACACCUGCCCGGUGCUGGAAGGUUAAGAGGGGAUGUCAUCGCAAGAGAAGCAUUGAAUCGAAGCCCCAGUAAACGGCGGCCGUAACUAUAACGGUCCUAAGGUAGCGAAAUUCCUUGUCGGGUAAGUUCCGACCUGCACGAAUGGUGUAACGAUCUGGACACUGUCUCAACCGUGAGCUCGGUGAAAUUGUAGUCCCGGUGAUGAUGCCGGGUACCCGCAACGGGACGAAAAGACCCCGUGAACCUUUACUAUAGCUUAACGCUGAAUUUGGGUACACAAUGUGUAGGAUAGGCCGGAGGCUUUGAAGCGGGCACGCCAGUGUUCGUGGAGCCGACGUUGAAAUACGGCCCUUUGUGUAUUUGAGUUCUAACCCUGCGAAGGGGACACCGUUUGGUGGGUAGUUUGACUGGGGUGGUCGCCUCCAAAAGCGUAACGGAGGCUUCCCAAGGUACCCUCAGCACGAAUGGUAACCGUGCGCGGAGUGCAAUAGCAUAAGGGUGCUUGACUGUGAGACAUACAAGUCGACCAGGUACGAAAGUAGGGUAUAGUGAUCCGGUGGUUCUGCGUGGACUGGCCAUCGCUCAAAGGAUAAAA